CCAACAUGAUCUGUGGCUUAACAGCUACAAUGUAGUCUCUAGAGUUUAGAUGGCCUGAUGUUGCAGUUAUCAAUGUUUAUUGUUCUGGACGAUCUCAGAGUCCACAUGGAAUGUGUAUGUUCAUUCAGGAUCUCAUAACCUCCAAGGGUUUGUCAACGCAGCCACCAGAAGCGAGCCUUCCAGGGAUCAAAAAAGUGUGAAUUCUUUGUCUAUGGUAUACUGGAAGCAGUUAGAAUCUCCACCUACGCUGGACAAAGCACCAGAAAAUGUAUGACAAGAAACAAUAGUACAUUGGCAAGCUGAUGGACUAUGUUCCACAAUGAGCAACAGAACUGUAAGGCUGUGAAUACACUGAAUUAUCGGAAAGAGAAGCUGAGAGACAAGGAAGCAAGUUCUUAUUCAAAUACAAGAGAGUCUUCACUAAUAACAGACAGGGAG